rnacentral:rRNA from 1 species
GACAACGCUGGCGGCGUGCUUAACACAUGCAAGUCGAACGGAAAGGCCCUGCUUUUGUGGGGUGCUCGAGUGGCGAACGGGUGAGUAACACGUGAGUAACCUGCCCUUGACUUUGGGGAUAACUUCAGGAAAACUGGGGCUAAUACCGGAUAGGAGCUCCUGCUGCAUGGUGGGGGUUGGAAAGUCUCGGCGGUUGGGGAUGGACUCGCGGCUUAUCAGCUUGUUGGUGGGGUAGUGGCUUACCAAGGCUUUGACGGGUAGCCGGCCUGAGAGGGUGACCGGCCACAUUGGGACUGAGAUACGGCCCAGACUCCUACGGGAGGCAGCAGUGGGGAAUAUUGCACAAUGGGCGGAAGCCUGAUGCAGCAACGCCGCGUGCGGGAUGACGGCCUUCGGGUUGUAAACCGCUUUCGCCUGUGACGAAGCGUGAGUGACGGUAAUGGGUAAAGAAGCACCGGCUAACUACGUG